UACGUAGGUGGCAAGCGUUGUCCGGAAUUAUUGGGCGUAAAGCGCGCGUAGGCGGCCGGUCGCGUCGGAUGUGAAAGCUCAGGGCUUAACCCUGAGAGGCCAUUCGAUACGGAUCGGCUAGAGGCAGGUAGGGGAAGGUGGAAUUCCUGGUGUAGCGGUGAAAUGCGCAGAUAUCAGGAGGAACACCGGUGGCGAAGGCGGCCUUCUGGGCCUGUCCUGACGCUGAGGCGCGAAAGCUGGGGGAGCAAACAGG
rnacentral:misc_RNA from 1 species